AUCAGGUUGAGAUCUGAAGCUUCUGCUGGGCACAUGCACUUCUGCAUGCCAUCAGUUCCUGCCUGCAACUCUGCUGUUUCUCAACCUACAGAGCCUGAAAUGAAUCCAUGCCAGCCUGUGAGGCACACCCUCAGCUGGCAGCUGUGAUGUAAUUUUUUAUUGACAACGUAUGCUCUGAAUACAGG
rnacentral:lncRNA from 1 species